rnacentral:rRNA from 1 species
CUGCAUACGAGCUGAUCGCUGCGCAUGUGUGGCUCGACGAGCUGUCUGCUCUUUGCUCGGUCGGCAUCUCCAACGAGAGGACCAGACCGAUCCAUGGGGAGGCGAAGUUGAUGCAUCUACAGCCGAAGCGGCAGGGGACUGUUGGGUGGACGAUAAAUCCGGCAAUCGAUCUUCAGUUUCAGGAAGCAUUUAUCACGAUUGAUGUGCACCCGGCUGCAAUUAAAUGGAGAUCUCACGCGAGGGAAGCUACUCCCGUAGCUAUGGACCCCUGAGGUUAAUUGGGUCAGUUUUCCCCGUUGGGUCCAAGCAGCGAAGGCCCUUCUCUCGCAGCGCCUCCUCCGAAUCCCGACCUCUCCUACCACUGCCGCGCCCCACCCAAACGUUGACCCCGACGGUGUCCACCAUGACGCCUGAGUUUGCCGAAGGCGGCACCACUGGAACCGGCGUCCGCAAACGGCUCCUGUCCAUGGGCAGGGUCGACGCAGUUCCUCGACCCCGGCCUAUCUCGCGGUCAUAGGGCGAACCCUUGGUGCCGCGCCACCAUGACCUCCUGGUCGCGACUCCUCGCGGCGCCGAUGACCACCCGUCCGGUAACCAAGCCCGUGUCCAGUACACGGUGCACUUCGGCGCUAACACGCGAUGCAGGACGGGUACACACACAAUGGCGCUGAAGGUGUUCCGAAGAGCAGGGUAUUUUUGUGGUUAAACAGGCAUCUGACGCAGGGAAGGGGGUGUGAGCAUUCUCUAACCAUGUACAGUACUUUAUCUGAAGGUGAUACUGCACGCUGUGUUGAUCAAGGUGGAGGAAAGAGAAAAGGUAAGUAGCAUCAGCUGGUUGGACCCAAUUUACAUAUUCUUAAUGGUUCUAUAUUUUAGGUGCAUUUGCUAUAUAUUUGGAGCCUUGGCAUGCUGAUAUUUAUGAGUUCCUUGAUUUGAGAAAGAACCAUCGGAAGGUAAACAUUCUAGAAGUAAUACGUAAAACACUUUCAGGCAGAGAUACCCGAAACUGAUUACCAGUUUGGAUUUACUUUUUUCGCACUGGAUCACCACCCUCAUGCUAUUGAUCUAUUUGUUCAUUUAUCAGGAACUAUUUGCAAUGGGAAAAUCAUUUUAAUUAAUCUAAAUCAAUUGUUUAUGUACAAUUAGUUGUUCAUGUUUUUUUAUUAUCUCCUGUAUUUUUAGUUGUUCAAGUGCUCCAUAUCUGCUUGUCCUCUGUAUAUUGUAAGAGGGUGAUAACAAGAGUGGAUCUCUCAAGCUAAUUAGGCUUGAUACUUCACACCCUCCGAUACAAUUUAUUUGGUCUGGUAAGGCCCUGAAGCAUACUAUAGUUACAAAAUUGAUCUUGGCUUUGUUUUCUAUUCUUUUCGUAGCCAUCAACUUGUCGGAAUCAUUCAAACAAAAGCAAAAUCAUUUGGCCUACAAGGAAUAGUAAAUGAUAGAACAUGCAUGGUUCAUGAAUCCUGAUAAGCGGCACCUAUUAUCAACCAUUGCUGUUAAAUUUGAGCAUCAACCAGAAAUAAGGUGACAUUGCCAAAGUGCAGAGUUCUUCCAAUUACUCUUUAAUUACUUCUGGUCACGAACCAUUUGGUUUUAAAGUGCGAAAUAUUGCAUGGGAUAUCCCUUAUGUAACUGUAACCGGAGAAUAUUUUGUCAUAUGAGUAGUUUUUAUUAUUCCAAACCAUGCAAUUAGAGGAUUCAGAAUUCCUCGCUAGGGAGACCCUGUUUAUGUCCAUGCUAUCAAUUCUCUUGCUAUUAACGUCUAAGAGAACAUCUCUUGCCGGAAGGGGUAGAGCUAGGAAUUUUAUUAAUUGGGUCUGUAGUAUCGUGCAGAUCACUGAUACUAGAAGGGCUUUGAGGCCACGAUUAUGUUGGAAUUUGGUUUUACUUUUUGCGUUAUAUUUCCCAUUUUCAUCACAGGAUUUCACUUCUAUUACGCCUAUUUUUUUAGCAUGGCCUUUUAUCUACUACAUUUCAUGUAGUAAAUAAUAUUUCCGGCCAAAACGUCACCCCCUGCAGACAUCUAAUUAGAAGCUUGGAACAUAGAAAUAAGACUUACCCUUCAAUAACUUAGUAGGUGUUAACAUGUUUGGAAGCUACCUUCAUGCAUACAAUAGAGAUGAGGUACUCUGGUUUUUUCUUAUCGAGUUGGCGUUAAUGCAUGAUUAAGGUGGGGAUGAUGCCUGUAGUGGAACAUGUUGUUGAAGAAUUCUACACAGAGCUUCUUAAAUGUGUACUGUUGUGACUCGGGGAAGUUUUAGUAGGACCUAUGUUAAUUUGUAGUCAAAUUGCUUUUAUAUUUUGUGCUUAUGUUUUAUUAUAGCUAGCACCAAACAAUUAUAGUGUUUAUUAAGCGAUUUCCUUCUGAUUUUGUUGUUUUUGAAGAUUUAGUACGUUCAACCUGAUCCCGGCUAGGACACAGACCAUUAUGAUGCAUCAAGUAUUGGAUUGAGAAAUCUGUACCAUGUUGACCAUAUCUCUCCCAAAUAUGUGCAAUGUUCAUCAAAAUAAAAUGAAUGGCUAUAUUGUUCUUUUUGAAAUAGAAUAGAAAGAUGAAAUGCCUUUAUAACCUUCAUAUAUAUUCCUAAAUCAUCCUGCAAAAUUAACUGAACAUGACUAGGCACGGCCGAGCAUCAGGAAAUAUGUAGUGAAAUCGAUUAACUAACACUCCAAGCAUUCAGAUACGCCAGCAUAAAGCAAUACGAGGUGGUCAGACGAACGAACAGGUGCGAACGGGGAAUCAUAGAACGCAAAUUAUGGACUCGAACCAAUUCCAUGAGUGAUUAUGCAUCCGCCGCAUCCAGAUCUAGUGACAGGCAACACAAAUCCGACGCCGAACCGAUGGAUUGGGCUGGCUAGCAUCGCGUGAUUUGGGGCCGGGUUCGUACCUCCGGCUGGAGCAGAGGCCCGCACCCGAGGUGGGUGAUGAAACGAUGAUCGGGGAGCUUGCCGGACUCCGUCCGCGCCUAGGGCCGGCCGCCGGUGUCGUCGCCGCGUAGUGGGUAUGGUGUGGGUCGGAAGGGAGGCGUCGCUUGGUUCGGGUGCGGUGCAGAGAGAGAGAGAGCCAGAGAGGGGAAUGGAAUGGGGGGAAAGUAUCCUAUACUCCAAUGGAUUGGGUGCUCCGGCUGCACCGUACGCAGCUCAUCCAUCAGAUACAGAAUACAAGGUUAGGAUGAAACCCGAACGCCCCGCUCUUAGAAUUUUGCCAAAAGGCGCCCCACAUAAGCACAAAAGGCGCCCCCGUUACUUAGGUGUGCCACAGUUUGGAACAGAAAGAACAAAAAGCAUCAGGGGCCUGGCGGCGGAUCUCGCCGUGGGCUGCGCUGCCACACCGGUGGAACAAGCUCGCUGCAGUACGGACGUACUCUGCUCCGACGUCCAGCGGGAAACUCGCCCCACCUCUGCCCCGCCAUUAUCCACCUCGACGCAACCCCCUCCACAGCCACACACUCCUGCCUAGCUCCGCCAUCUACCGACGCCGGAGAAGAGAACUCCGAGCCUUCAGCAUGGAAGGAUGGAGUCAAUGGCAAGCAUUGCUUCAAGUGUCGGAUCAUCUACAAUGAAUGGGACCUGAAGAUGAUGCCAACAACUUUUCCAUGAGCAAGCAGUAUCCAAAAAGUUUGAAGAUAGAUUAUUCUAUUUACUAAGUUGGCACUGGUAGCUCAAAUGGUGUGUUUAUAUUUUGAUCCUCUUUGAUUAAAACAUAUUCAGAAUUUGGAAGUCUUCGACUAAAACUUGUUUAUUAGUAGCAUCUAGAUUUACAGCCCAUGGGAGCGGACAUUAGUUGGUGCAGUAUAUGUGUACCUGCUAUACCUGAUUUAUUAGUAACAUCUAGAUUUGAUCGUUGAAGUAUGUGGUUGAUGGCAGAAUUAUGUGUAAUGUCAUGAGCCCGAUUCAGAAAGCAUUCACGACAUAUUAUUGCUGUAAUAUUAACUUCGCAAUGUCAAGAUGGAUUAAAAAGGUGGUGGAAUGCCAAUGAAUGAUUGUUGAUUGAUCCUUUUGCAGUUUGACGUGUGUGUUUCAUACACCCGACACUAUAGUCUUCUCAUUUGUCAUGCAGGUUUCACCAAUUAAAAUCAUGGUUAAAUUCUUCUUUUACUUCAAAUUAGUCGCACCUUGUUAAAUCACUAAACAUUUUGUUUUCAUAAUGUGCACUUCCUAUGGAACAUAUGUUUCCUUUUGUAUAUCAGUUUGGAAAUUUCAUGCUGCUAUCUGUACCAUAUUUAUAUGUAAUGGACGAUUGUAAAAGCUUCUUGGAGCUCCUGUGUCUCCUUCUGGAGUUUUAG